GAAGUUCAUUACAAAUAUUCUUUCUUUAAAUAAAUUCUUUUAUUAUUCAAACUCAAUUUCAUCUUUAUUCCACAAUUCUAAGAGCGUUCCACUAGCAAAGGGAUCAAAUAAAAUUAUUGUAACUAGAGCUCAAUCACCACAAGGACGAUUUUUGUACCCCUUUUUGAGGCUCUUCGAUAUUUGUGGGAUUUUCAGGUCAUUUGAAAAGGAAGAUUGUUGGCUACGAGGAAGGCGUUAUCAUCUUGGAGUGUGGCCGUUCAGAGUGCAUAUAGUAUGCUGCCAAGAUAGCCCAAUGGGCUUGACGUUAACCCCCGAAAGAUAAGGUUGGUGCUAUUCACCGAUAUGAGGUAAUUUGCCAUGAAAAUUUUAGCAACCGAAAAUGAAUUGGAUACAUAUUAAGAGUCUAAACCAAAUCCAUGAGUAAGAGAUCGCGUCAUGUUGUCUUACAUGUAUUUUAAAUGGGACUUUUAUGCCGCUGGCCUCUGACGCUUACGUCGGCAAUUUUUGUUUCCCAUAUGUAUAUUAAAAUAUUGACGCUGGCCCCUUAUCCUUUUAUUGGGUGUAGACUAAUACAUUGAAAUGUUAAUAUGAGAAAUGUUCGUCACUACUUAUUGUCACUAAAUAAAUACAUUGUAAAUAAAUGCA